UGAACGCUGAGUUGGAGGAACCACCUCUAAAGGAAGAAGACGAGGUUCCCGACGACGAAACGGUCAACCAGAUGAUCGCGCGCCACGAAGAGGAGUUUGACCUUUUCAUGGUGAGCAUGGCACAGGCGGCGGAGGAGAAGCGAGGCCUGCUGUUCUCCGGGGUCUAAAACGGUCUUUCUAACAGAAAUCAACUGAGAGUGCUUAAUGGAGCCGUGAUUCGUUCCGAGUCCAACAGGUAAA